AUUCACUCAGGAAAGAUCUAAAGGAGUAUGUGCAGGCAUGUUAUGUGUGUGCAGUUUCUAAGGUGACUCAUGUACUUCCUUGUGGCCUGUUGCAGCCUCUUCCUGUUCCUGAGAUUCCAUGGUCCCACUUAUCCAUGGACUUUAUUGUUGAGCUUCCUAGCUCUGCUGGGUUCACUACUAUUCUCAUGGUUGUAGACCGAUU